AGAGCCCGUUAAUGGGUGAUGGCGUGCCUUUUGUAGAAUGAACCGGCGAGUUACGAUUUGAUGCAAGGUUAAGCAGUAAAUGUGGAGCCGUAGCGAAAGCGAGUCUGAAUAGGGCGUUUAGUAUUUGGUCGUAGACCCGAAACCAGGUGAUCUACCCUUGGUCAGGUUGAAGUUCAGGUAACACUGAAUGGAGGACCGAACCGACUUACGUUGAAAAGUGAGCGGAUGAACUGAGGGUAGCGGAGAAAUUCCAAUCGAACCUGGAGAUAGCUGGUUCUCUCCGAAAUAGCUUUAGGGCUAGCCUCAAGUGAUGAUUAUUGGAGGUAGAGCACUGUUUGGACGAGGGGCCCCUCUCGGGUUACCGAAUUCAGACAAACUCCGAAUGCCAAUUAAUUUAACUUGGGAGUCAGAACAUGGGUGAUAAGGUCCGUGUUCGAAAGGGAAACAGCCCAGACCACCAGCUAAGGUCCCAAAAUAUAUGUUAAGUGGAAAAGGAUGUGGCGUUGCCCAGACAACUAGGAUGUUGGCUUAGAAGCAGCCAUCAUUUAAAGAGUGCGUAAUAGCUCACUAGUCGAGUGACACUGCGCCGAAAAUGUACCGGGGCUAAACAUAUUACCGAAGCUGUGGAUUGUCCUUUGGACAAUGGUAGGAGAGCGUUCUAAGGGCGUUGAAGCAUGAUCGUAAGGACAUGUGGAGCGCUUAGAAGUGAGAAUGCCGGUGUGAGUAGCGAAAGACGGGUGAGAAUCCCGUCCACCGAUUGACUAAGGUUUCCAGAGGAAGGCUCGUCCGCUCUGGGUUAGUCGGGUCCUAAGCUGAGGCCGACAGGCGUAGGCGAUGGAUAACAGGUUGAUAUUCCUGUACCACCUAUAAUCGUUUUAAUCGAUGGGGGGACGCAGUAGGAUAGGCGAAGCGUGCGAUUGGAUUGCACGUCUAAGCAGUAAGGCUGAGUAUUAGGCAAAUCCGGUACUCGUUAAGGCUGAGCUGUGAUGGGGAGAAGACAUUGUGUCUUCGAGUCGUUGAUUUCACACUGCCGAGAAAAGCCUCUAGAUAGAAAAUAGGUGCCCGUACCGCAAACCGACACAGGUAGUCAAGAUGAGAAUUCUAAGGUGAGCGAGCGAACUCUCGUUAAGGAACUCGGCAAAAUGACCCCGUAACUUCGGGAGAAGGGGUGCUCUUUAGGGUUAACGCCCAGAAGAGCCGCAGUGAAUAGGCCCAAGCGACUGUUUAUCAAAAACACAGGUCUCUGCUAAACCGUAAGGUGAUGUAUAGGGGCUGACGCCUGCCCGGUGCUGGAAGGUUAAGAGGAGUGGUUAGCUUCUGCGAAGCUACGAAUCGAAGCCCCAGUAAACGGCGGCCGUAACUAUAACGGUCCUAAGGUAGCGAAAUUCCUUGUCGGGUAAGUUCCGACCCGCACGAAAGGCGUAACGAUUUGGGCACUGUCUCAACGAGAGACUCGGUGAAAUCAUAGUACCUGUGAAGAUGCAGGUUACCCGCGACAGGACGGAAAGACCCCGUGGAGCUUUACUGUAGCCUGAUAUUGAAAUUCGGCACAGCUUGUACAGGAUAGGUAGGAGCCUUUGAAACGUGAGCGCUAGCUUACGUGGAGGCGCUGGUGGGAUACUACCCUAGCUGUGUUGGCUUUCUAACCCGCACCACUUAUCGUGGUGGGAGACAGUGUCAGGCGGGCAGUUUGACUGGGGCGGUCGCCUCCUAAAAGGUAACGGAGGCGCUCAAAGGUUCCCUCAGAAUGGUUGGAAAUCAUUCAUAGAGUGUAAAGGCAUAAGGGAGCUUGACUGCGAGACCUACAAGUCGAGCAGGGUCGAAAGACGGACUUAGUGAUCCGGUGGUUCCGCAUGGAAGGGCCAUCGCUCAACGGAUAAAAGCUACCCCGGGGAUAACAGGCUUAUCUCCCCCAAGAGUUCACAUCGACGGGGAGGUUUGGCACCUCGAUGUCGGCUCAUCGCAUCCUGGGGCUGUAGUCGGUCCCAAGGGUUGGGCUGUUCGCCCAUUAAAGCGGUACGCGAGCUGGGUUCAGAACGUCGUGAGACAGUUCGGUCCCUAUCCGUCGUGGGCGUAGGAAAUUUGAGAGGAGCUGUCCUUAGUACGAGAGGACCGGGAUGGACAUACCUCUGGUGUACCAGUUGUCGUGCCAACGGCAUAGCUGGGUAGCUAUGUGUGGACGGGAUAAGUGCUGAAAGCAUCUAAGCAUGAAGCCCCCCUCAAGAUGAGAUUUCCCAACUUCGGUUAUAAGAUCCCUCAAAGAUGAUGAGGUUAAUAGGUUCGAGGUGGAAGCAUGGUGACAUGUGGAGCUGACGAAUACUAAUCGAUCGAAGACUUAAUCAA
rnacentral:rRNA from 1 species